CUCAAAAAACAAAAAAAGAACCAAAAAAAAGAAAUCCAUUCUCCACUACUGCAUACGAUUAUCUAUUACUCUUUAUGAAUCCCCAAUGUUUUAAGCUGAUGUGUCAUAACCUCCUAAUUUUAAAAUUUUUUUUUAUUUAGAAUGAGUCAUUUUAUUCUCCUCUCAACAUAUGUCUCUUCAUUUUUUUCAUUUAAUUUUUAUUUAGAAUGAGUCAUUUUAUUCUCUCCCUCUCUCUCAAUAUAUGUCUCCUCAUCUCCCCCAUUCAAUGUCUCCUCAUCUCCCCCAUUCAAUUUUUAUUUAGAAUGAGACAUUUUACUCUCUCUCUCUCUCUCAACAUAAGUCUCCUCAUCUCCUCCUUUUUUUUCUCUCUCUCAACAUACGUCUCUUCAUCUCUUCCAUUUAAUUUUUAUUUAGAAUGAGUUAUUUUACUUUCUCUCUCUCCAUCGUUGGGUUCACAUCUACUGCCUACAGUGAGAGACUUUCGGUAGAUAUACCAAGUGAGAUACACAAAAAAAUAUUUAAUAUUUUAUUAUUAUUAAUUACUAUUACAGUUUCUACCCGCUGUAAAGCGCGGGACUCUUCACUAGUAUAAAAGAUUAAGGAAUAAUUGCCAAA
rnacentral:lncRNA from 1 species